rnacentral:rRNA from 1 species
GUAGGUGGCAGGCGUUGUCCGGAAUUAUUGGGCGUAAAGCGCGCGCAGGCGGUUCGUUUAAGUCUGAUGUGAAAGCCCACGGGCUCAACCGUGGAGGGUCAGUUGGAAACUGGAGAACUUGAGUACGGAAGAGGAAAAGCGGAAUUCCACGUGUAGCGGUGAAAUGCGUAGAGAUGUGGAGGAACACCAGUGGCGAAGGCGGCUUUCUGGUCUGUAACUGACGCUGAGGCGCGAAAGCGUGGGGAGCAAACAGGAUUAGAUACCCUGGUAGUCCACGCCGUAAACGAUGAGUGCUAAGUGUUAGGGGGUUUCCGCCCCUUAGUGCUGCAGCUAACGCAUUAAGCACUCCGCCUGGGGAGUACGGCCGCAAAGGCUG